rnacentral:rRNA from 1 species
CCUACGGGUGGCAGCAGUGGGGAAUAUUGGACAAUGGGGGGAACCCUGAUCCAGCCAUGCCGCGUGUGUGAAGAAGGCCCUCGGGUUGUAAAGCACUUUCAGUGAGGAAGAACGCCUGGUGGUUAAUACCCAUCAGGAAAGACAUCACUCACAGAAGAAGCACCGGCUAACUCCGUGCCAGCAGCCGCGGUAAUACGGAGGGUGCGAGCGUUAAUCGGAAUUACUGGGCGUAAAGCGCGCGUAGGUGGCUUGAUAAGCCGGUUGUGAAAGCCCCGGGCUCAACCUGGGAACGGCAUCCGGACCUGUCAAGCUAGAGUGCAGGAGAGGAAGGUAGAAUUCCCGGUGUAGCGGUGAAAUGCGUAGAGAUCGGGAGGAAUACCAGUGGCGAAGGCGGCCUUCUGGACUGACACUGACACUGAGGUGCGAAAGCGUGGGUAGCAAACAGGAUUAGAUACCCCUGUAGUC